AUUGAACGCUGGCGGAAUGCUUUACACAUGCAAGUCGAACGGUAGAGGGGGCAACCCCUCGAGAGUGGCGAACGGGUGAGUAAUAUAUCGGAACGUGCCCAGUCGUGGGGGAUAACGUAGCGAAAGUUACGCUAAUACCGCAUACGAUCUAAGGAUGAAAGCGGGGGAUCGCAAGACCUCGCGCGAUUGGAGCGGCCGAUAUCAGAUUAGGUAGUUGGUGGGGUAAAGGCUCACCAAGCCAACGAUCUGUAGCUGGUCUGAGAGGACGACCAGCCACACGGGAACUGAGAAACGGUCCAGACGCCUACGGGAGGCAGCAGUGGGGAAUUUUGGACAAUGGACGCAAGUCUGAUCCAGCCAUUCCGCGUGCAGGAUGAAGGCCCUCGGGUUGUAAACUGCUUUUGUACGGAACGAAAAGGUCUCUCUUAAUACGGGGGACUCAUGACGGUACCGUAAGAAUAAGCACCGGCUAACUACGUGCCAGCCGCCGCAGUAA
rnacentral:rRNA from 1 species